AUUGAACGCUGGCGGCAGGCCUAACACAUGCAAGUCGAGCGAGCGGCGGACGGGUGCGUAAUGUAUGGGGACUGCCCGAUCGAUGGGGAUAACUACUGGAAACGGUGGCUAAUACCGCAUACUGUCGGCUACCCCAUAUGGGAUUAGCUAGUCGGUAAGGUAAUGGCUUACCUAGGAGACGAACCCUAGCUGGGCUGAGAGGAUGAUCAGCCACACUGGGACUGAGACACGGCCCAGACUCCUACGGAGGCAGCAGUGGGGAAUAUUGCACAAUGGGCGCAAGCCUGAUGCAGCCAUGCCGCGUGUAUGAAGAAGGCCCUCGGGUUGUAAAGUAUUUUCAGUCGGGAGGCGUUACCGACAGAAAAAGCACCGGCUAACUCCGUGCCAGCAGCCGCGGUAAUAC
rnacentral:rRNA from 1 species